rnacentral:sRNA from 1 species
AGAGUCCGUUGCGGCUGCCGCCCCGACGCCAGCGCAUCCCCGCUCGCCGCGCCCGCCGCCGCGAUGUCUGGGGCCGGCCUAGCCGCCGUGGUGAGCCGCCUGCCCCCGCAGCCUGGCGAGGAGCCGCAGACCCAUGAGACGUUACUAUUUUUAUAACCACUAGACAACGCAGGUUGCCGCAUACUUCUUUAUUUGUGUAGACUUCGCUCUUGCCCUGUUUGAAGAGCCUGAGUUGCUUCCCCUGCCUUUCUUG